UUAGCACUGAGGUGAGUUGUCCACAGAUGUGGAAAUGGGUUUGGAAAAGGAACUAGAUGAAAACCAUUGAGAAAACCUAGUGAAGCUACAGAAGGAAGUCAAUACCGACUUGAAGAUUCUCACAACAUAGCUGUUCAUGUUAAAAAAGCACAUAGUGGCUAUGCUUUAUAUGGACAAAAAGGAUCCACAGAAACUUUUGAAGAAUUUCUUCAUAUUGUAAAGAAAUUUUCAUUGAAUCCAGACAUGGAUUGAACCCCUGGGCAAGAAGGGCGAUUGUAUGUACUGUAAUGUGACAUGGGGUAAAUUAGAAAUGUGUACUAAUUUCAGAACACAGAGAAGAAAUGAUUUUGACUAAAGGGAUUUAGUGAAGUCUUUAUAAAGAAGAAAGCCAUAGAGUGAAGAUUUUCAAAGGUUAA
rnacentral:lncRNA from 1 species